rnacentral:rRNA from 1 species
AGUCACGAGUUUGAUCAUGGCUCAGGAUGAACGCUAGCGGCAGGCCUAACACAUGCAAGUCGAACGAGACCUUCGGGUCUAGUGGCGCACGGGUGCGUAACGCGUGGGAAUCUGCCCUUUGCUUCGGAAUAACAGUUAGAAAUGACUGCUAAUACCGGAUGAUGUCUUCGGACCAAAGAUUUAUCGGCAAAGGAUGAGCCCGCGUAGGAUUAGGUAGUUGGUGGGGUAAAGGCCUACCAAGCCGACGAUCCUUAGCUGGUCUGAGAGGAUGAUCAGCCACACUGGGACUGAGACACGGCCCAGACUCCUACGGGAGGCAGCAGUGGGGGAAUAUUGGACAAUGGGCGAAAGCCUGAUCCAGCAAUGCCGCGUGAGUGAUGAAGGCCUUCGGGUUGUAAAGCUCUUUUACUCGGGACGAUAAUGACGGUACCGAGAGAAUAAGCCCCGGCUAACUCCGUG